rnacentral:lncRNA from 13 species
CUAAAAUGUAAAGAGGAAAAAAAAAUUAAAAAAAUAACUGAACAUAAUAUUUAAAGAACUGGGGGGCAAUUUCACAAGAUAUAACAUGUGUGCAAUUGGAAUACCAAAAAGAGAAGAAAGAGAGAACAAAGCAGGAGAAAAUGUUGAAGUAAUAGUAACUGAGAACUUUCAAAAAUGAAUGCUAGACAGCAGACCACAUCCAGGAACCUCAGAGAAUGCCAAGCAGGUUAAAUCCCAAAAAAUAUACAUAGGCAUAUCAUAUUCAAACUGCAGAAAAUCUUGAAAGAAGCCAGAGAAUAAAAACAACUUACCUGUAGAGGAAUAAGAAUAUGAGUUACAUCUGACUUUUAAUCAGAAACCAUGCAAGAAAAUAGAGUGAAAUAUGUAAAGUGCUAAAAGAGAAAAAUCACAAGCCUGGUAUUCUAUACAGAAAGAAAUUAUUCAUGAAUGUUUCUCAGAUAAAAAAUAAGAGAGUAGAGUUUUAAAAAAGAGUAGAGUGAAGUAUUUAAAGUGCUGAAAGAAAAAUCACUGAGUUGGAAUUCUAUAUAUAAAUUUUUUGUCAAAUGUCUUUUUCUCAGACAAACAAGUAAGAUAAUUCAUUGCUAGCAGAACUGCCCUGCAAGAAAUGUUGAAAGAUAAAAGAUUUUCUUCAGACAGAAGGAUAACUGUAAAAGUCAGAAGCUUGGAUCUACAUAAGGAAAGGAUCUACAACAGAGAAGGAAUGAAUGAAGUCCUUCAUGACAUGUAG